rnacentral:rRNA from 1 species
GACGAACGCUGGCGGCGUGCCUAAUACAUGCAAGUCGAACGGUCUUUUCUAUGGAAGCUUGCUUCCGCUGAGAAGAUAGUGGCGAACGGGUGAGUAACACGUGGGUAACCUGCCCAUAAGAGGGGGAUAACAUCCGGAAACGGGUGCUAAUACCGCAUAGGUUUCUUGGUCGCAUGAUCGAGAAAGGAAGACGGCCUUUGUGCUGUCGCUUAUGGGAUGGACCCGNGUCCUAUCAGCUAGUAGGUGAGGUAACGGCUCACCUAGGCGAAGACGGGUAGCCGGCCUGAGAGGGCGAACGGGCCACACUGGAACUGAGAUACGGUCCAGACUCCUACGGGAGCAGCA